UGAGCAAUCUGCCCUUCUCAUCGGAAUAAGCGUUGGAAACGACGUCUAAUGCCGGAUACGACCUCCUUUCGCAUGAUCGGAGGUGGAAAGCUCCGGCGGAGAAGGAUGAGCUCGCGGCCUAUCAGCUAGUUGGUGUGGGUAGUGGCCCACCAAGGCGACGACGGGUAGCCGGCCUGAGAGGGUGACCGGCCACACGUGGGACUGAGACACGGCCCAGACCUCCGUACGGGAGCAG
rnacentral:rRNA from 1 species